rnacentral:lncRNA from 7 species
ACUUUCUCUGGCAAAUGUGAGCAAAGGUCACAACUUUUAACAGCAAAGGGGAAACAUUCUCCAAGUUUCUUUUUCCAUGGCCUAUCAUGGAAAUACCAAGAUACGGAAGACAAAAUUUAACCAGAACUGGGAAAGCAAGAUAGCUCCACAGCUGAAAGAUUAGACAUCUCUCUGGGGGACCAGCUCUGUUCCACAGCCUGCUGGAAGGAGGAGAGGUCUCCAGGGGACAAGGGACAGGACUUCAGCCCCACAGGAGCGCUCCACUCCGAGGAUGCACUCUCUAGGCAGGAAGAAGACGGGGUGACUCCUCAUUGCCACCGAAGGCAAACAAAAAAUAGCUUCUUACUUCAUCCGCCCUGGACUACCUUCCCAGCCCACUCCUUUGCCCUGGGCCUACAAGGCAGCCACCUAGGCCUGGGCGCUGCGUGUGUUUGAUCCCCUUUGAGCCUUGAUAAUUAUUUGAAAGGUUUGUGUCAAAUCCCAGCCUGAUGUGAUGAAAUAACUCGUUCCCAUUUGGAGAAUAAAACUAUUCCUGG